UACGGAGGGGGCUAGCGUUGUUCGGAAUUACUGGGCGUAAAGCGCACGUAGGCGGCUUUGUAAGUUAGAGGUGAAAGCCCAGGGCUCAACCCUGGAAUUGCCUUUAAGACUGCAUCGCUAGAAUUGUGGAGAGGUAAGUGGAAUUCCGAGUGUAGAGGUGAAAUUCGUAGAUAUUCGGAAGAACACCAGUGGCGAAGGCGACUUACUGGACAAAUAUUGACGCUGAGGUGCGAAAGCGUGGGGAGCAAACAGG
rnacentral:rRNA from 1 species